ensembl:snRNA U6 U6 spliceosomal RNA
GUGCUCGCUUUGGCAGCACAUAUACUAAAAUUGGAACGGUAUAGAGAAGAUUAGCAUGGCCCCUGCGCAAGGAUGACACGUAAAAUGAGUGGAAAAAAAUCAAACUGG